AGAGUUUACCUUGUGGUUUGGCCUCAGCAGUGUGCGGGCCGUUGUCAUUCACAUCCGGUGAGAAAAAGCAGCAAAGGAAACCGUCCUCUCCCUGGAAUGCCGGUCCACCAUCUGUCCAGCAAAUAGUCUUGGCCCACUCUCUACUUCUCUUGUUUAUUUUGGCCUUGCAGAUUUCUCCCACGAAAGCCCAUGGGAUUUUGUGGAAUUCAUCCUCAAAUCCCAGGUCUUGUUUUAGGACAGAUGGUGAGCCCCAAGGCUGCUGUGCUCCAACUGCUGGAUGCUACCACUGGGAAAGUGGGGUGUGGGGGGGAAACAGGGACCUCUCGCUCUUUCUUUCUACAUCUUCAUGGGAAGCUUUCACUAUCUGAACAUAAAAACUCUAGAUUAAAAGCGGGCAAGUGUGUCCAUAUUGUGAUCUU
rnacentral:lncRNA from 1 species